UACGGGGGGGGGCAAGCGUUGUUCGGAAUUACUGGGCGUAAAGGCGCGUAUGAGCGGCCAACUAAGUCGGAUGUGAAAUCCCCAGGCUUAACCUGGGAACUGCAUCCGAUACUGGAUGGCUUGAAUCCGGGAGAGGGAUGCGGAAUUCCAGGUGUAGCGGUGAAAUGCGUAGAUAUCUGGAGGAACACCGGUGGCGAAGGCGGCAUCCUGGACCGGCAUUGACGCUGAGGCGCGAAAGCCAGGGGAGCAAACGGG
rnacentral:rRNA from 1 species